AUUGAACGCUGGCGGCAGGCCUAACACAUGCAAGUCGAGCGGAUGAAGGGAGCUUGCUCCUGGAUUCAGCGGCGGACGGGUGAGUAAUGCCUAGGAAUCUGCCUGGUAGUGGGGGAUAACGUCCGGAAACGGGCGCUAAUACCGCAUACGUCCUGAGGGAGAAAGUGGGGGAUCUUCGGACCUCACGCUAUCAGAUGAGCCUAGGUCGGAUUAGCUAGUUGGUGGGGUAAAGGCCUACCAAGGCGACGAUCCGUAACUGGUCUGAGAGGAUGAUCAGUCACACUGGAACUGAGACACGGUCCAGACUCCUACGGGAGGCAGCAGUGGGGAAUAUUGGACAAUGGGCGAAAGCCUGAUCCAGCCAUGCCGCGUGAGUGAAGAAGGUCUUCGGAUCGUAAAGCACUUUAAGUUGGGAAGAAGAGCAGUAAGUUAAUACCUUGCUGUUUUGACGUUACCAACAGAAUAAGCACCGGCUAACUUCGUG
rnacentral:rRNA from 1 species